AAAAACCGACACAGGUAGGCAGGGUGAGAAUCCCAAGGCGCUUGAGAGAACUCGGGUGAAGGAACUAGGCAAAAUGGCACCGUAACUUCGGGAGAAGGUGCGCCCUUUGGUGUGGUCACGUGCGUGACUGAGCAUCGAAGGGUCGCAGUAACCUGCCGCUGCGACUGUUUAUCAAAAACACAGCACUCUGCAAACACGAAAGUGGACGUAUAGGGUGUGACGCCUGCCCGGUGCUGGAAGGUUAAUUGAUGGGGUCAGCCGCAAGGCGAAGCUCUUGAUCGAAGCCCCAGUAAACGGCGGCCGUAACGAUAACGGUCCUAAGGUAGCGAAAUUCCUUGUCGGGUAAGUUCCGACCUGCACGAAUGGCGUAACGACAGCGGCGCUGUCUCCACCCGAGACUCAGUGAAAUUGAAAUCGCUGUGAAGAUGCAGCGUUCCCGCGGCAAGACGGAAAGACCCCGUGAACCUUUACUAUAGCUUUACACUGAACGUUGAGUUCUUCUGUGUAGGAUAGGUGGGAGGCUAUGAAACCAGGACGCUAGUUCUGGUGGAGCCAUCCUUGAAAUACCACCCUGAAGUGCUUGACGUUCUAACCUAGGCCCGUAAUCCGGGUCAGGGACCGUGUAUGGUGGGUAGUUUGACUGGGGCGGUCUCCUCCCAAAGAGUAACGGAGGAGCACGAAGGUACGCUCAGCGCGGUCGGACAUCGCGCACUGUGUGCAAAGGCAUAAGCGUGCUUGACUGCGAGAUCGACGGAUCAAGCAGGUACGAAAGUAGGUCUUAGUGAUCCGGUGGUUCUGUAUGGAAGGGCCAUCGCUCAACGGAUAAAAGGUACUCCGGGGAUAACAGGCUGAUACCGCCCAAGAGUUCAUAUCGACGGCGGUGUUUGGCACCUCGAUGUCGGCUCAUCACAUCCUGGGGCUGUAGCCGGUCCCAAGGGUAUGGCUGUUCGCCAUUUAAAGUGGUACGCGAGCUGGGUUCAGAACGUCGUGAGACAGUUCGGUCCCUAUCUGUCGUGGGCCUUGGAGAUUUGAGGGGGGCUGCUCCUAGUACGAGAGGACCGGAGUGGACGUUCCGCUGGUGUUCGGGUUGUCAUGCCCAUGGCAUUGCCCGGUAGCUACGAACGGAAGUGAUAACCGCUGAAAGCAUCUAAGCGGGAAGCACGCCCCAAGAUGAGAUCUCCCGAGAGCUUGACUCUCCUAAAGGCACCAUCAAGACUAGGUGGUUGAUAGGUCGGGUGUGGAAGCGCAGCAAUGCGUUGAGCUAACUGAUACUAAUGAGCCGUGAGGCUUGACCG
rnacentral:rRNA from 1 species